rfam:Picea glauca, whole genome shotgun sequence.
UCGGUUAGUCGAUCCUAAGAGAUGGGGAAUCCUUGCAUCAAGGGUGCACUCUGCAUGAACAUCGAAAGAGAAUUGGGUUAAUAUUCCCGAACUGGGACAUGGUGGUGGACGACAAUGUUAGGAAAUCUGGAUAUGUCAUCGGGGGCCUGGGAAGAGUUAUCUUUUCUUUUUAACGACUUUCCCACCAUGAAAUUGGUUCAACCAAAGAUAGGGUCCAACAUCUGAAAGAGAACCACAUGUCUUGUGGUGUUUGGUGCCCCCUUGGCAUCCAUUGUUAAUAUGGUGAACCGAGUACCAUCCAUGCUCGAUUGUACUCAUAUCUGCUUCCUUGGAAUUUUCAAUGUCCACUAGGUUAGCGAUCUUG